GUGUCAGCAGCCGCGGUAAGACGAACCGAGCGAACGUUGUUCGGAAUCACUGGGCUUAAAGGGCGCGUAGGCGGGCUGUCAAGUCUGGGGUGAAAUCCCGCGGCUCAACCGUGGAACUGCCUCAGAUACUGACGGUCUCGAGGGGGAUAGGGGCGAGCGGAACUGUGAGUGGAGCGGUGAAAUGCGUUGAUAUUCACAGGAACUCCGGUGGCGAAGGCGGCUCGCUGGAUCUCUUCUGACGCUGAGGCGCGAAAGCCAGGGGAGCAAACGGGAUUAGAUACCCCCGUAGUCC
rnacentral:rRNA from 1 species